rnacentral:rRNA from 1 species
UACGUAGGCAGCGAGCGUUGUUCGGAAUUACUGGGCGUAAAGAGUGUGUAGGCGGUGCUCUAAGUUCGGUGUGAAAUCUCCCGCUUAACUGGGAGGGUGCGCCGGAAACUGGAGUGCUCGAACGUGGGAGAGGAAAGCGGAAUUCCUGGUGUAGCGGGUGAAAUGCGUAGAUAUCAGGAGGGAAACACCCGAUGCGAAGGCAGAUCUCU